rnacentral:lncRNA from 7 species
GGACAGAGCAAGGCUGGGGCUGGUGGAAGGGGGCUGGCUGAAGAUCAGCAUCUGAAAGCCUUCUGUGAGGCUGUGAUGAUGUGUCAGAGUCCCUGAGUAUCUCUGAAGCCCAGAAGGCCCAGCAGAGCUUCUGACUGCGGUGUCUCCAGAAUGAUCACGUCUUUGAAUCAAGUGCAAGAAGCUGAGGCACCAGGAGACUGCAGCUGGGUGUGAUGUGGGCUUCCCAAGGAACAAUGUCAACUGGCUCUUUGGUGUUGGCAUCCGCGCACUCUAGGCGUGCUCUGACAGAUUUCAUCCAGCUCGCUCCUGACUGGUGCAGUACGUCGUCAUAUCCUCGCUGCAGCUGUCUGGGGAUGAAGAAGCCCCUGUUGGGGUGCCAGCCAGUCUGACUGCUUUGCAACAGGAGACUGCCAGGAUCCCUGGUGGCUUUUCGGAAGGCUGGACUUCUGUCGUGUGUCCCCACCCCCCACCAUUGUACCACACAGCAACAUGGAGCUGAGAGUCCUCAGUGGAUUGGGUAAGGGCCUACCCUGCAAAUGCCUCAUCCAAGCAUGUGAGCGCUUGUUUUUGCAGUGUGACCCACACUGUCAGCCAUAAUCCUGAAACCUGAGGUGCUGGAAAGAAAAACUGCUUUUGUACAACAUGCCAGGGUUGUGUUGAAACUGGCACAAACUGCAAGAGCACACGUACAUCUGUCAAGAGUUUGGUGAGCAGGAGCUCAGCUGUAGAGGAUUCUGGGUUGGAGUUGCCUUGUUCAGAGAGCAGCAUGAUGGCAGCAUGUCUGCCAAAGCCAGAAGGGUAGUGGCUGGAGCCUUCCAUCACCAGAACUACUACGGUGUUAGACGCAGCAGGCGACCCAGAAGCCAGCUGCACAGCAGUUAGUGUCCUCCCAGUGUGCGGAGGCCGCUGCUGCUUGGUGGCCACUUCCUUCUGUCAGAGAAAUAAUACUUUUUAAGAAUAACAAGCAGAAUUUACUCAUGCUCUGUGAAUAUUUUUAUAAUAGCAAUGUUAAUCUGUUAGCUAGCAGGGGGAGAAGUCUGAAAACAUCUGAAAACAAAAGAGCCAAGAACCUCAGUGAGGCUUUGGCUCCUCAGUUGCUGCCUAUUUGGCUCUUGACCCUCUGGUUCCUACAACACAGCAACAGUUGAUGAAAACACAAAGCAACAUCUUUGGGAAGCACUCAGUUUUGUCAGGAGAGUCACAGACUCCGUUGCUGGUGCAGAAUGAAGACCUUUAUUGCAGGUGCUCAGAACCUUUUAUACCCACGCAAUAUCCCCUUGGUCACAUGUAUGAACCAGGUGCCUGGUGCGUGUUUACAUCUGGCGCAAGUAGCUACCAAGCUUGCUUACUCAUUUGCAAGGUCCUUUGUUCAUAAUGUCUUUCUUUGUUCCACACUCAGUGCUUUCAGUCCCCUCACCUCACUGUCACAAUGUGGCCUUAUGCCAUGUCAUCAGCUAAACCAAAAUAUGUGUAUUUUGGUCAUUUUUAACUUAGGUGAAAGAAAACAAUACGCAUGACAUCAUUCUGAGCCUAGAAGUACCUACUGUUUAAUUUACAGAGCACCUCUUUCAAUUUGUGACCAAUAAUAACGCAUACUUAAAAUACACAACAAAGCCAAAGCCACUGCUGUUACUGUUACUCAUACCUCACUUAUACAGCAAGGUGAACCAGGUGGCAAGAACCUCCCUGCCUCCAGUACAGCCUUUCAGAGGUCUUUUAGUGC